AUGUACCACGUGUGCACUGGGAUCCUGAGCGCGCCGUCCGCGCCCAACUUGACGACAGCUCGCCACGUUUUGUUGGCU
rnacentral:sRNA from 1 species